rnacentral:rRNA from 1 species
AGUGAACGCUGGCGGCAGGCCUAACACAUGCAAGUCGAACGGCAGCACAGUAAGAGCUUGCUCUUACGGGUGGCGAGUGGCGGACGGGUGAGGAAUAUAUCGGAAUCUACUUUUUCGUGGGGGAUAACGUAGGGAAACUUACGCUAAUACCGCAUACGACCUACGGGUGAAAGCAUGGGAUCUUCGGACCUUGCGCGAUUGAAUGAGCCGAUGUCGGAUUAGCUAGUUGGCGGGGUAAAGGCCCACCCAGGCGACGAUCCGUAGCUGGUCUGAGAGGAUGAUCGGCCACCCUAGAACUGAGACACGGUCCAGAGUCCUACGGGAGGCAGCAGUGGGGAAUAUUGGACAAUGGGCGCAAGCCUGAUCCAGCCAUACCGCGUGGGUGAAGAAGGCGUUCGGGUUGUAAAGCCCUUUUGUUGGGAAAGAAAAGCAGCAGGUUAAUACCCCGCUGUUCUGACGGUACCCAAAAAAUAAGCACCGGCUAACUUCGUG